AUUCACUCGAAGGCGUUGAGCUAACCGCAAGGAGGCAGGCGACCACAGUGGGUUUAGCGACUGGGGUGAAGUCGUAACAAGGUAGCCGUAGGGGAACCUGCGGCUGGAUCACCUCCUUUCUAAGG
rnacentral:rRNA from 1 species